rnacentral:misc_RNA from 1 species
UACAGAGACCUCAAGCGUUAUCCGGAAUCAUUGGGCGUAAAGCGUACCGAUCGGGGGUCGUAAAAGUUCGGGGUUAAAUUCCGGGGCUCAACUUCGGAAAUGCUCUGGAUACUAUGCGACUAGAGGGACAAAGAGGUGCUUGGAACGAACGGUGUAGCAGUGAAAUGCGUUGAUAUCGUUCGGAACACCAAUAGCGAAGGCAGAGCACUGGGUGUUUCCUGACCCUGCUAGGACGAAAGCGUGGGGAGCGAAUGGG